AAACUUAAAUAAUAAUAGUAAAUGCCUAAUUUUCUAUUCCUGGUAAUGAUUAAUGAAUAAUUCAACAUAUAAUAUUUAAUAAUAAAUCUGCCUUUUAAUUAUUAUGGAUUACAGGGCGUGACAUAAUGAAUGUCAGCCAUCUUUGUUUUCUGCUGUCAAAACUAUAUAUUUUAUGAUUUAAGUGAAGUUUCUGUUUUAGUUGUUAGCUUAUCUGAGUUAAUAAUUUAGCUACGUUUAAUCAAUUGUUUUUAUGACGAACUACACCAAAGCAUUGGUUUUGGAAUGAAUUAGUUUAAAUGUUUUAGUUCUGAAUGUAUAAUAGAUAUAUGGAAACCAUAUACUAAACAAUUGAUAUUAUGAAUUUAUUUUUAUGCAGGUUUCCCCAGUUGUUAUGGAAUAUAUCAACACAAUGCCUACGUGUAAUUCAUAUGGGUGUGUCUUGUGUAUUAUGUUUACAUGAAUAAAAGAUGAUGCCCUAACCCGUA